rnacentral:lncRNA from 1 species
AGUCAGUUUAGCAGGAGCCCCUCAGCCUACGUAUAGGAUCACCUCUAUACCUGCUCCUUUCCUAUGACAGGUGUCACUGUUAUAGAGGUGGCACUGGCUGCAGGAGAGAUGCAUGGGGUCAGAAUUGGGCAGAAUUAUAAGACCCUAGCUGGAUCAAGGGUUGCACGGUGUGAGGAAAAACCCACUGCGACCACACCUCCUUCAGCAGCAGGGCUUUUUUCCUUGGAGAUCCUUUAUAUGUCGUGCACAUCCACGCUCUCCAACACCUGCCACACCAGAAUCUUUUAGACAUUUUCUCUCCUGGGGAUCUGAAAUGACCAUGUGACCCUUGCUGAAGAAUGCACCACCAUGGCCGCGCUGGCGA